GUGCAAGUCGAGAGUAUGAAAAAUAUCUUGCAUCUCACCGUCAUGCUUCGCUGUGUUUGAGCAUUGAGUGCGCUUUACGUUGCGAUGUCUAGAGUUUGCUUUUGCACUUACUUGUGUCUGUGGUGCUGUUUAGUUAUGCAUACAGUGCAUGAUUAAAGGCAUUCUUCAUGCGGCUAGUCAUGUCAUGUUUCUGUGUUGUGCGCGAACACGAUAAACGUGUCGGUGCAAGGAUAUCGCGAUAAAGUGACUCGGCUGCCUCACUACUGCUGCUACACUACGAACGACUCGCUCCAGCGCGGAUGGCCACCGGGGGUUUCAUUAGGUUCGGCCUGCUUCACUUCGUAGUCGUGUCACUGAAAAGAAUUAACGGCUGUCAGAGCUGUCAGUUUGCUGCCCAUUCUGUUGGAGCCGCUAAACGCUGAGGCGCUGUUACCCUUCCUUUCCGAGCGGGAAGCCCCAGUCGCGCCGUGUGCGCAGCGAGCGGGGGCACAAUUUACAUCCAAUCAUGGGCUUCCUCCACAAAUCACACGUGUAUUUGCAGCACGCAACCGGGAGUAAUGAAGAUAUACAUCGACAGGUCGUCCGUGCUCAUGGUCAGUGCGUCGUAGAGCGAUCGAUCGUACAAUCGAAACAGAUCGUUCAUCGUUAGUCGCCGAUAAAAAGAAACUAAAGCUAAUAUUCCCAUCGGUUCGCCGCUAACAGGCGCCAAUGAACAUUUGCCGGAGAAGCGGGGGAGCGAUCUCGCGAUCGUGGAAGAACAGAUCGUGUCCAACGAUCAGCGAGCACGUCGGCGAAGCACGAACCAGUGUCUUCUUGCCUGCGGUGUGUUUGAGGCCGGUGUUUUUAAUCGGUUUUUCGAUUUCACUUAACUAAGAAUGAUCGCGGCGGCGAUUAAGCGCUGUCCGUGCGCGCCGAUCCAACAAACGAGCGAGAGUCAUAAAUUAUGCGAAUGAAGUUACAAAAGAGUAACAACCAUAGAUUAUCUUAACCGGCCAACGCUCAUCGCCAUCGACCGUAUCUUGAAGGUUUCCCCAUAAUAAACCACGUCCAUAGCACCAACCAACCUUCUCGUUCAAAACCGACGACUUCGGUUCCUUCACUUAGUGGCGGUAAACGCGAUCGCUGAUCGCUCCAUUCAACGUUGGCAUCGGCAUCAUCAUGCCCGCCCCGUCGGGCAGAGUACCUUUUUAAUGUAUUCAACACAAACAUAUAAAUUAAUUUAUACUAAUUAAAACCGUUAUUAAAGCGAAUGAAGUUUCUAUUUUGUAGUUCCUACAGCGCAGCAGCAUCAGCAGCCGAUCACAGCGGACACGAAUGAACAGAAGGAAUCCCAUCAACAACGGAGAGGUAAAAAAUCGUCAGCAGUAGUACAACUAAUAAGAACUCUCACCUCGCCCUUGCCGGAUGCCGUGUGGUUUCAACCGACGGGACAGAGUGAGAAAUAAAAGAAAAACAACGUAGCGGAAUAAAAAAAACUGUCGAUAAAAUUUACGAUACACCAUAAAAUACAAAUAUUUCACGUAAUUUGAUAUUUCUCCAAGUUCAUCUAUAAACGUAAUGAGGCAAUUAAUUAUUCCUGUUUUAUUGGGGAAUAUAUUUUAUUUUGUCAUAAAUAAAGACACGCUGCUGAGCUAAACGAGCCACAGCGAGCAUUCAUUUUCUGAUGUUGCUGCUGCUGUUGCGGUGGUUGCUGCUGUUGCUGCUGCUGCUGCUGUUGCUCCUGCUCUUGCUAGUGGAAGUUUGUACGUGUGUUCCUUGGUGUUGCUUUUGUACGUGUGAUGUGUUAGUAAGAAACGGUGCACAGCCAGACGGAGCAGGAUAGCAGUACGAAACACGGUGCACGUGAGUAGGAGAGUGCUUCGUGAAAAAAAAACUUGAUCUUCAACCAGCUACAAUCGGCCCAGUGGGAGUUAUGUUUAUAUAGUUAACAGUGAGAAGCAAAGCGAAGCGAUGGAAGGCACAAAAAAACACGUAAAUGAGCGACGAUGAAACGAUUGGAAUGGCCCCAACCGGGGCCAAGACGAUAAACUUAAGCAGCAGAAAAGGAGCGACCAUUUCGACGGAAAUUGCUGUUUCCAGCUAAUAAAACCCACCGCAAACUCGGGUCUGAUGAAAACGAAACGGCAUCUCCUGCUCGUAGCAAACUGCGGUGCUAAGAGCGGUAUGGUAGCUGCUGCUGCUAUGAACGGGUUGCGUUCGUGGGUGCGACAUCGUGCGUGCUGUGCGGAACUACACAAUCGUACAAAUAUUGACACUAUUCGCACCGAGGGUGUUCUUGACAAUUCAUUCAACAAACGCACCAUGGUUUGUGAGAGCGGUUACAAUUCUCAUCAAAAUAGAACAUUUUACACACAUUUAUCAUCGCCACAGAGCGUGGAGAGAACUCCGUCAUGGGCGACAUGUCCGAGAGACUGGUGCCAACUGGUUAAAUUAACUAUUAUAUUUCACUCCGCUGGAGGUCGCCGCAACAACGUUCACCCAACGAGAUGUUACACUCCGUGAGAACGCUAAAAAAAGCUGACAGCUUCUUCAACUACCCACAUUACUACCAUAACAACGUGAUUUAGCGCAGUGCAAGUAACGGGAGCGAACAAAUCGGCACGCCUGUGAAUAGUGGAUGAGUUAUCAUUAUUUGUCCCAUGACAGUUCCUUCACAGCACUGUCAAUGACGAACGCUGGAAUCUGAUGCGCCUUCAAGCCCCAGGAAUGUCCAUCUUCGCUACCGUGCACGGCCCGCGGUGGGUAGGAAGAUAAGCCAAUGGUGAUUGGGUGUAAUGAAAUUCAGUUGGCAGUAGUUAGUAUUGACGUGACUGGAAUAAAUUGUAUACCAAACGAUACUGACA